AAAUAUUUUACCCUUAACAAAAAGUGUGAAGUUCCAUCGUUCUCUGAAAAACUGUGCCACCCUAGCAUAGCAGCGCAGGCCACCACACCGCACCGUAAAAUGGAUUCUCCGCCGUUACUUCCUUCAUUCCAAUUUUUUACGGAUUGCUGAUUCAUUCCAAAAAUACCCUUCACUCGCUGAGUUCACUCGCCCGCUCGCUGAGUAACUCACUGAGAGUUAAAAAAGAUCAAAUGAAUGGACCAACAACGCGAACCUAACUCUAAUUCGCAGAAGAAGCGCCGUCUCGACCUUGACUGGGAAGCUCUUCUCCCCCGCCACGGCGACGCACCGCCGCCGGAGAUCGUGGUCAAGCCUAUGGCCUCCGGUAAUUCCUUCUCCCUCGACGAUGAAUUUAGAUACUUAACCGACCACCAGCUCAUCGAAAGCAUUCGGAGCAAGAAGCAAACCUUGAGAAUCCAUCUCCCGAAGUUGAAGGAUGGAGGUGUCAAGAUUCUCGAUACCAUCAGGCGACAAGAGGAAGAGCUAGCUCGCCGGAAAAGGACGCCACACGUCCAGGAAGUUGUUGAUGCUGAUGAUAAACCGAGAAAUGCUACUGGCUCAAGUGAUGUUGGUGUGUCUAGUGACUCGAGACAGAAGAGUAUCUCAUCUCAAGUGCCAGUUCAAUCCCAAUUUGCAUCUUGUUUUUCUAAGAAAUUGGAAGGAGCUGAUACGGAUUGUAUGGUGGUUGACACAUCUGGAAAAGAGACUUCACAAUUCAGACAUUGCAAUAACCAGACAAUAAAAGACAUGGGAGAACCUAAAAGAGGAAGGAGGCUUCGAUCAUCUUCUAGAAAUGAGCCAUUUCAAUGCGCUACCAACCUUUCCAAGAAUGAUGCUUUUAAUGAUGGUAAAAAAUCCAGAGCAGCUUCCAGUAUCUCUACUGCGAACAUUGGGAAAAGCCUGUCAAGAUUCUUCGCUCCAGAAGUGAAGGAAACUAGACAGGCAAUUCAAUCAGAUGACUCAAGGUCCAAACAGGGUCAGCCCAUUGUCCUUGAUGAUGAUGAUGACGAUGAUGAUGAACCUUAUGUGCUAGAGAAGACAGAGCAAGAAAAAAAACUUGCUGAAUGUGCGAAAGAUGCUAAGAUGUAUUACCCAUCAAGUGACGAUCCAGAGUCUGUUGAAAUUUGUUACUCAGACAUAGAUUGCCUUGCUCCUGAAGGCUAUUUGACUUCAACUAUUAUGAAUUUUUACAUACGAUAUUUGAAGCAGCAAGCAUCUUUGGCAAAUAGAUCGUUAUCCAAGUAUCAUUUUUUUAAUACAUAUUUCUACAAGAAGCUUCAGGAGGCUGUUUCGGUUAAGCAAAGUGACAGAGCAACAUUCUUUGUCAAAUUCAGAAGGUGGUGGAAGGGUGUAAAUAUAUUUCAGAAGGCCUAUGUUUUGAUUCCAGUACACGAGGAUCUUCAUUGGAGCUUGAUCAUUAUUUGUAUCCCGGAUAAAGGUGAUGAAUCAGGGCCAAUCAUACUUCAUCUGGAUUCUUUGAGUCUUCACUCUAGCAGAUCACUAUUUGAUAACAUCAAAAGGUACUUUUCUUAUGUGCUUGUAAGUACUGGACUUGAAAGCCAGAUCCAGCUAAACCUCUUGGGUAGUGUGUUUGGUGGGUAUGACAAAUUCAGAACAUAUGUCAUCAGAUGUUUCAAUUGCAGACAGGAUAUGGAAUUGCCUUCCCCGUCGAAUUGAAGCGCAAGUUAUCACGGUUCCCCAACAAAGGAAUGAUUAUGAUUGUGGCCUUUUUGUAUUGUACUUUAUUGAACGUUUCAUUGAAUGGGCACCGGAAAGACUCAAAAAGAAAGAUUUGGCUAUGUUUGGCAAGCAGUGGUUCAAACCUUCAGAAGCAUCCAAUUUGAGAGUGAAAAUCCGUAAACUGCUCGUGGAAGAACUUACAAAUUCAAUUGACCGUAAUUCUUCUCCAAAGUGUUCUCCUUCAUUAUUUUCGGGCACAAGUCCAACUGAAUGUACUGAGACAGCCAAGGACCCUGAUCUAACCACCGCAUGAAUUAGAAUUUGCAUUUUCAUUGGAUGAAGAAUCUUUCGACAGUUCACAUAAUCGAUGUUAUUGUUUCUUCACCUGUACAGACAUCAACUAUCUGGUACUUUUUUUUAUCACCGAGUUUCCCACGGUACAUGGAAAAAGGUGGCCGGCAGUUUACUAUGCGUAAAAACACACAUCCAGUUUCUAACCAUUUCUUGUGGAUAAGAGUUCCUUCCACUUUCCAAAUGUAUAGUAGGACAGGUCAGUACAGAGAUGAUAGUCUGCUAGGUAGGCUCCAAGGUGAAUCUACCAAUUAUUUUGUACUUGAAUCGCUGAGAGUUGGAUUAAUAUUAUAGGAUUCCAAUUGAAGUUUGAUGCGGUAACUCAUUUGAUGUUAUGUUUCACCA